rnacentral:rRNA from 1 species
ACGGAAGGCAGCAGUGAGGAAUAUUGGUCAAUGGACGCAAGUCUGAACCAGCCAUGCCGCGUGCAGGAAUAAGGCCCUAUGGGUCGUAAACUGCUUUUGUGGUGGAGCAAUAAGUCGUACGUGUACGGCGAUGAGAGUACAUCACGAAUAAGCAUCGGCUAACUCCGUGCCAGCGGCCGCGGUAAUACGGAGGAUGCAAGCGUUAUCCGGAUUUAUUGGGUUUAAAGGGUGCGUAGGCUGUGGUCCAAGUCAGGGGUGAAAGCCCGGAGCUCAACUCCGGAACUGCCUUUGAUACUGGAUUGCUGGAAUACGGAUGCCGUGGGAGGAAUGAGUAGUGUAGCGGUGAAAUGCAUAGAUAUUACUCAGAACACCGAUUGCGAAGGCAUCUCACGAAUCCGUCAUUGACGCUGAGGCACGAAAGCGUGGGGAUCAAACAGGAUUAGAUACCCUGGUA